rnacentral:rRNA from 1 species
UACAGAGGGGGCAAGCGUUGUUCGGAAUUACUGGGCGUAAAGGGCGCGUAGGCGGCCCGCUAAGUCGAACGUGAAAUCCCCAGGCUCAACCUGGGAACUGCGUCCGAUACUGGCAGGCUUGAAUCCGGGAGAGGGAUGUGGAAUUCCAGGUGUAGCGGUGAAAUGCGUAGAUAUCUGGAGGAACACCGGUGGCGAAGGCGGCAUCCUGGACCGGCAUUGACGCUGAGGCGCGAAAGCGUGGGGAGCAAACAGG